rnacentral:rRNA from 1 species
UGGGGAAUUUUCCGCAAUGGGCGAAAGCCUGACGGAGCAAGACCGCGUGGGGGAAGAAGGCUCUUGGGUUGUAAACCCCUUUUCUCUGGGAAGAACGCAAUGACGGUACCAGAGGAAUCAGCAUCGGCUAACUCCGUGCCAGCAGCCGCGGUAAGACGGAGGAUGCAAGCGUUAUCCGGAAUGAUUGGGCGUAAAGCGUCCGCAGGUGGCAGUUCAAGUCUGCUGUCAAAGACCGGGGCUCAACCUCGGAAAGGCAGUGGAAACUGAACAGCUAGAGUAUGGUAGGGGCAAAGGGAAUUCCUGGUGUAGCGGUGAAAUGCGUAGAGAUCAGGAAGAACAUCGGUGGCGAAGGCGCUUUGCUGGACCAUAACUGACACUCAGGGACGAAAGCUAGGGGAGCGAAUG